AAACGGAGGAGUAAUUAGUCAUUAUCAUUAUUAUUACGAGCCGUAUGCACGCGCUGCCUCGCUCUCGCCUCGGCUUCGGGUUCUUCGCGUCGAUGAGCUCGUCGGCGGCGAGGGUGGGCGGCGGCGGCGGAAGGGACCCGAGCAAUAACCCGGCGGUGGGGAGGCUGCGGGAGCUCGUGCAGCGCGGGGACGCGGCAGAUGGCUGGGAGAAGUCGUGGGAGGCCGCCGUAACCCCGUGGGAUUUGGGGAAGCCAACACCUAUCAUCGAACAUCUCGUUAAAUCAGGAACUCUCCCGAAGGGGAGAGCUCUGGUUCCAGGAUGCGGCACGGGAUAUGAUGUGGUUGCUCUGGCAAGCCCUGAGCGAUUUGUUGUUGGCUUGGAUAUUUCUAGUACAGCUGUGGAGAAGGCUAAGCAGUGGUCAUCAUCUUUGCCAAAUGCAGACUGUUUUACUUUUCUGGCUGACGAUUUCUUCAAGUGGAAACCAAGUGAACAAUUUGAUCUUAUUUUCGAUUAUACGUUCUUUUGUGCACUUGAUCCAAGCUUGAGGUUGGCUUGGGCAGAAACAGUUAGUGGGCUUCUAAAACCUCAUGGAGAGCUAAUCACCCUUAUAUAUUUGGUAACUGAAGAAUCUAUCUAUUCUUUUGUUUACUUUUCCAUUGAGGAUGUCAUGGUACUAAUCAUAUCAUAUUGUGCUGAGGUCUGAGGCUUGUAUUCAUAGCCUAUCCUUCUGAAGACAUAGCCUCGUAUGCACUCGCUAUUUCUGAAGACAGAAAAUAGAAUUUAGAUCAGUGACCAAGAAGGAGGACCACCAUUCAAUAAUACAGUCACCGACUAUCAGAAGGUUCUAGAACCAUUGGGUUUCAAGGCUAUUCUCAUGGAAGACAAUGAACUAGCUAUCAAACCGCGCAAGGGUCAAGAGAAACUGGGAAGGUGGAAGAGAUUUGUACCCGGAUCUUCUCUAUAAAGAAGGGAUGCAGCGUUCAUGUUUCUUUCUUGGGCUCGCUUUCGUUGUCGAUAUUCAAUUCUUCAUGUUCAAGAUCCAAGAACAUGUGUGUAUGCGUGCAGUCCAAGACUCAACAAAUGUACUCCAAAUAAGCUCGCGAUGCUGUCAACUUGUCGUUGUCAGGCGAUUUCAGCAUUCAGAACAAGUGAACAGCCUAGUCUUGCAGCUCAAGAUGUAACUGAAUGAAUUAGGGACAAAAGGAAUAAAAGAUCCUAGAAAAAUGAAGGCACUAUAACUGUAUGACUGCAUGAUGGAUGAAAAAUAAUCUGAACACUAAAUUUCAAACUAUUUGAAAUUCUGA